GAUGAACGCUGGCGGCGUGCCUAAUACAUGCAAGUCGAGCGAACGGACGAGAAGCUUGCUUCUCUGAUGUUAGCGGCGGACGGGUGAGUAACACGUGGAUAACCUACCUAUAAGACUGGGAUAACUUCGGGAAACCGGAGCUAAUACCGGAUAAUAUUUUGAACCGCAUGGUUCAAAAGUGAAAGACGGUCUUGCUGUCACUUAUAGAUGGAUCCGCGCUGCAUUAGCUAGUUGGUAAGGUAACGGCUUACCAAGGCAACGAUGCAUAGCCGACCUGAGAGGGUGAUCGGCCACACUGGAACUGAGACACGGUCCAGACUCCUACGGGAGGCAGCAGUAGGGAAUCUUCCGCAAUGGGCGAAAGCCUGACGGAGCAACGCCGCGUGAGUGAUGAAGGUCUUCGGAUCGUAAAACUCUGUUAUUAGGGAAGAACAUAUGUGUAAGUAACUGUGCACAUCUUGACGGUACCUAAUCAGAAAGCCACGGCUAACUACGUGCCAGCGGCCGCGGUAAUACGUAGGUGGCAAGCGUUAUCCGGAAUUAUUGGGCGUAAAGCGCGCGUAGGCGGUUUUUUAAGUCUGAUGUGAAAGCCCACGGCUCAACCGUGGAGGGUCAUUGGAAACUGGAAAACUUGAGUGCAGAAGAGGAAAGUGGAAUUCCAUGUGUAGCGGUGAAAUGCGCAGAGAUAUGGAGGAACACCAGUGGCGAAGGCGACUUUCUGGCCUGUAACUGACGCUGAUGUGCGAAAGCGUGGGGAUCAAACAGG
rnacentral:rRNA from 1 species